GGAGUAAAGGUUGCUGUCGAUCCUCAGCCCGACACCAUGCAGCAGAGUCCGGGGAAGCGCCUCUUCCUCUGCCGGACCAGCGGCUGGGGAGUCAGGUUCAACAAGCUGCUGUCGUCUGAAACGGAAACACGUUGGGAUGAGUCGCAUGGUACAACGGAAAA